UGGGAGUACAAUGCUGUGGGA
rnacentral:piRNA from 1 species